AACGAACGCUGGCGGCAUGCCUAACACAUGCAAGUCGAACGAGAACUUCGGGUCUAGUGGCGCUCGGCUGCGUAACGCCUGGGGAUCUACCCUUGGGUUCGGAAUAACAGUUGGAAACGACUGCUAAUACCGGAUGAUUACGUAAGUCCAAAGAUUUAUCGCCCCAGGAUGAGCCCGCGUAGGAUUAGCUAGUGGGUGAGGUAAAGGCUCAUCAAGGCGACGAUCCUUAGCUGGUCGGAGAGGAGGAUCAGCCACACUUGGACUGAGACACGGCCCAGACUCGUACGCGAGGGAGGAGUGGGGAAUACAGGACAGUGGGCGAAAGCCUGAUCCAGUAAUGGCGGGUGAGUGAUGAAGGCGGUAGGGAAGUAAAGCUCGUUUACCCGGGAUGAUAAUGACAGUACCGGGAGAAGAAGCUCCGGCUAACUCCGUG
rnacentral:rRNA from 1 species